rnacentral:rRNA from 1 species
CCUACGGGAGGCAGCAGUGGGGAAUAUUGCACAAUGGGGGAAACCCUGAUGCAGCGACGCCGCGUGAGUGAAGAAGUAUUUCGGUAUGUAAAGCUCUAUCAGCAGGGAAGAAAAUGACGGUACCUGAUCAAGAAUCCACGGCUAACUACGGGCCAGCAGCCGCGGUAAUACGGAGGGGGCAAGCUGUAUCCGGUUUGACGGGGUGUAAAGGGAGCGUAGACGGCAGCGCAAGUCUGGAGUGAAAUGCCCGGGCUUAACCCCGGAACUGCUGUGGAAACUGGCCAGCUGGAGUGCAGGAGAGGUAAGUGGAAUUCCUGGUGUAGCGGUGAAAUGCGUAGAUAUUAGGAGGAACACCAGUGGCGAAGGCGGCUUACUGGACCGUAACUGACGUUGAGGCUCGAAAGCGUGGGGAGCAAACAGGAUUAGAUACCCGAGUAGUC